rnacentral:rRNA from 1 species
GCCAGACUCCUACGGGAGGCAGCAGUGGGGAGUAUUGCACAAUGGGGGAAACCCUGAUGCAGCGACGCCGCGUGAGCGAUGAAGUAUUUCGGUAUGUAAAGCUCUCUCAGCAGGGAAGAAAAUGACGGUGCCUGACUAAGAAGCCCUGGCUAACUACGUGCCAGCAGCCGCGGUAAUACGUAGGGGGCAAGCGUUAUCCGGAUUUACUGGGUGUAAAGGGAGCGUAGACGGCAUGGCAAGUCUGAUGUGAAAACCCGGGGCUCAACCCCGGGACUGCAUUGGAAACUGUCAGGCUAGAGUGUCGGAGAGGCAAGUGGAAUUCCUAGUGUAGCGGUGAAAUGCGUAGAUAUACGGAGGAACACCAGUGGCGAAGGCGGAUUGCUGGACAGUAACUGACGCUGAGGCGCGAAAGCGUGGGGAGCAAACAGGAUUAGAUACCCUUGUA